UACGUAGGGUGCAGGCGUUAAUCGGAAUUACUGGGCGUAAAGCGUGCGCAGGCGGUUUGCUAAGACAGGUGUGAAAUCCCCGGGCUUAACCUGGGAACUGCGCUUGUAACUGGCAGGCUUGAGUGUGGCAGAGGGGGGUGGAAUUCCACGUGUAGCAGUGAAAUGCGUAGAGAUGUGGAGGAACACCGAUGGCGAAGGCAGCCCCCUGGGCUAACACUGACGCUCAUGCACGAAAGCGUGGGGAGCAAACAGG
rnacentral:rRNA from 1 species